GAUGAACGCUAGCGGCAGGCCUAAUACAUGCAAGUCGGACGGGAUUUGGGAGCUUGCUCCUAAUGAGAGUGGCGCACGGGUGCGAAACACGUAUGUAACCUACCUUAAUCAGGGGGAUAGCCUCUCGAAAGAGAGAUUAACACCGCAUAAUAUAUUUUUAUGGCAUCGUAGAAAUAUCAAAUAUUUAUAGGAUUAAGAUGGGCAUGCGGAACAUUAGCUAGUUGGUAAGGUAACGGCUUACCAAGGCUACGAUGUUUAGGGGAUCUGAGAGGAUGACCCCCCACACUGGUACUGAGACACGGACCAGACUCCUACGGGAGGCAGCAGUAAGGAAUAUUGGUCAAUGGGCGCAAGCCUGAACCAGCCAUGCCGCGUGCAGGAAGACGGCCCUAUGGGUUGUAAACUGCUUUUGUACCGGAAUAAACCCUUUUACGUGUAAAAGGCUGAAUGUACGGUAAGAAUAAGGAUCGGCUAACUCCGUGCCAGCAGCCGCCGUAA
rnacentral:rRNA from 1 species